rnacentral:misc_RNA from 1 species
CCAAACUUGGUCAUUUAGAGGAAGUAAAAGUCGUAACAAGGUUUCCGUAGGUGAACCUGCGGAAGGAUCAUUAUUGAAUGAAAUUGAGUGGGGUUGUAGCUGGCCUUUUAUCGGGCAUGUGCACAUCUCACUCGUUCAAUCUCCUUAUUCUAUCUCUGUGCACUUCUCAUGGGCCUAGGUUGCAUCUGAAACAGUGUUGAAACCUAGCUCGUGUGUUUUCAUAUACAUAUUGUCAUGUUUUAAGGAAUGUCUAUGAUGCAUAAAUUGUUGCAUAUAAUACAACUUUCAGCAACGGAUCUCUUGGCUCUCGCAUCGAUGAAGAACGCAGC